rnacentral:misc_RNA from 1 species
GGAAGUAAAAGUAACAAGGUUUCCGUAGGUGAACCUGCGGAAGGAUCAUUCAUAAUAAAGUGUUUUAUGGCACUUUUUAAAAAUCCAUAUCCACCUUGUGUGCAAUGUUAGAUCUCGUCAAUCUUGGCGAGAUUUUUAUACAUCAACUCAUUCUUUAACUAAUUUGUCUGAAAAAUAUUAUGAAUACUUAAUUCAAAAUACAACUUUCAACAACGGAUCUCUUGGCUCUC